rnacentral:rRNA from 1 species
UAAGGAAUAUUGGUCAAUGGACGCAAGUCUGAACCAGCCAUGCCGCGUGGAGGAUGACGGUCCUCUGGAUUGUAAACUUCUUUUAUUUGGGAAGAAAACCUCUGAUUAUUCGGAGCUUGACGGUACCAGAUGAAUAAGCACCGGCUAACUCCGUGCCAGCAGCCGCGGUAAUACGGAGGGUGCAAGCGUUAUCCGGAUUCACUGGGUUUAAGGGGUGCGUAGGCGGAUAGGUAAGUCCGUGGUGAAAUCUCUCGACUUAAUCGGGAAACUGCUAUGGAUACUAUUUAUCUUGAAUGUUGUGGAGGUUAACGGAAUAUGUCAUGUAGCGGUGAAAUGCUUAGAUAUGACAUGGAACACCAAUUGCGAAGGCAGUUAACUACACAAAUAUUGACGCUGAUGCACGAAAGCGUGGGGAUCAAACA